rnacentral:rRNA from 1 species
AACGAACGCUGGCGGCAGGCCUAACACAUGCAAGUCGAACGAUGAACCGGGUGCUUGCACCUGGGGAUUAGUGGCGAACGGGUGAGUAACACGUGAGUAACCUGCCCUGGACUCUGGGAUAACCCCGAGAAAUCGGAGCUAAUACCGGAUAGGACCUUUCCUCGCAUGAGGUUUGGUGGAAAGUUUUUCGGUCUGGGAUGGACUCGCGGCCUAUCAGCUUGUUGGUGAGGUAAUGGCUAACCAAGGCGUCGACGGGUAGCCGGCCUGAGAGGGUGACCGGCCAGACUGGGACUGAGACACGACCCAGACUCCUACGGGAGGCAGCAGUGGGGAAUAUUGCACAAUGGGCGCAAGCCUGAUGCAGCAACGCCGCGUGCGGGAUGACGGCCUUCGGGUUGUAAACCGCUUUUAGUAGGGAAGAAGGGCUUCGGCUUGACGGUACCUGCAGAAAAAGGACCGGCUAACUACGUGCCAGCCGCCGCAGUAAUAC